CCUACGGGAGGCAGCAGUGGGGAAUAUUGCACAAUGGGGGAAACCCUGAUGCAGCGACGCCGCGGGAGUGAAGAAGUAAUUCGUUAUGUAAAGCUCUAUCAGCAGGGAAGAAGAUGACGGUACCUGACCAAGAAGCCCCGGCUAACUACGUGCCAGCAGCCGCGGUAAUACGUAGGGGGCAAGCGUUAUCCGGAUUUACUGGGCGUAAAGCGCUCGUAGGCGGUAUGUCAAGUCAAGGGUGAAAUCCCCGCGCUCAACGUGGGAACUGCCUGUGAAACUGGCAAACUGGAGGGUGUGAGAGGAUAGUGGAAUUCCAGGUUGAGGGGUGAAAUCCGUAGAUAUCUGGAGGAACAUCAGUGGCGAAGGCGACUAUCUGGCACAUAACUGACGCUGAGGAGCGAAAGCGUGGGUAGCAAACAGGAUUAGAUACCCGGGUAGUC
rnacentral:rRNA from 1 species